rnacentral:lncRNA from 1 species
GAAAUUGCUGACUGUGACAGUAAUCAAGAUCCUUUUUUUUUUUCCGAACAAAAAAACCACGAAGUUUAUUAAUCUGAAUAUGAAAUUUGCACACAAUACAACGAGAUUGAAUGAUAAACGAAUAUACAUAUAGCUAUAUAGCGAUUAUUCUAAAUGCAAGAACACUGGAUCGAGAAAACAUAUGAAUGGGAUUGAUUAGAAGAAUUUGGGGGGUUUGGAGAUUGAUUUUGGCGGGUUGAAAUACUUUCUUGGGGCUUUCGGAAUUGCAGGGAGCCGUGGUACAGGUGGAGCUCUGGGAAUGGGAUUUGGCUUUCUCUUGGUUGGUGGGUUUGAUAUUCCGAUAAUUGGUGAAGGAUAUGGGUUUUGCGCAAAUGGGGUUGGAGGUGCUGAUAAUUUUGGGGUUUUGGGUAAGUUUGGUUUCUUAUGAAUUGGAGUUGGUGUGGGUGAAGGUGUUUGAUAAAAUGGCGGAGCGAGAAUUGGAGUUGGUGUGGCGGAAGGUGUUUGAUGAAAUGGUGGAGCAAGAAUUGGUGUUUGUGUAGGGGAAGGUGUUCGAUAAAAUGGCGGAGCGAGAAUCGUAGUUGGUGUGGGUGAAGGUGUUUGGUAAAAUGGUGGAGGAAUAUUUGGUGUUGAUGCAGGGGAAGGUGUUUGAUGAAAUGGUGGAGGAAUAUUUGGUGUUGAUGAAGGGGAAGGUGCUCGAUAAAAUGGUGGUGGAAUAUUUGGCUUUGAUGUGGGAGAAGGUGUUUGAUGAAAUGGUGGAGCAAGAAAUGGAGUUGGUGCAGGGGAAGGUGUUUGAUACAAUGGUGGAGGGAUUGGAUUUGGUAACUUAACCAUAGGAGGAAGUGGCGGUGAUGAUGCCGGNN